GAUGAACGCUGGCGGCGUGCCUAAUACAUGCAAGUCGAGCGGUAAGGCCACUUCGGUGGUACACGAGCGGCGGACGGCUGAGUAACACGUAGGAACGUACCCCAAACUGAGGGAUAAGCACCAGAAAUGGUGUCUAAUACCGCAUGUGCUUUAAGGAGUAAAGCUUCGGCGGUUUGGGAACGGCCUGCGCAUGAUUAGCUUGUUGGUGAGGUAAUGGCUCACCAAGGCGACGAUCAUUAGCUGGUCUGAGAGGAUGAUCAGCCAGACUGGGACUGAGAACGGCCCAGACUCCUACGGGAGGCAGCAGUAGGGAAUUUUCCACAAUGGACGAAAGUCUGAUGGAGCAACGCCGCGUGCAGGAUGAAGGCUUUCGGGUCGUAAACUGCUUUUAUCUGUGAAGAUUAUGACGGUAGCAGAUGAAUAAGGAUCGGCUAACUCCGUG
rnacentral:rRNA from 1 species